UACGUAGGGAGCAAGCGUUAUCCGGAAUGACUGGGCGUAAAGGGUGCGUAGGCGGUGUAGCAAGUUAGAAGUGAAAUACCUAGAGCUUAACUCAGGUGCUGCUUCUAAAACUGCUAUACUUGAGUGCAGUAGAGGAAAGUGGAAUUCCUAGUGUAGCGGUGGAAUGCGUAGAUAUUAGGAGGAACAUCAGUGGCGAAGGCGACUUUCUGGACUGUAACUGACACUGAGGCUCGAAAGCGUGGGGAGCAAACAGG
rnacentral:rRNA from 1 species